CUUCUUGGGGAAAUUCCCCGGACGUAAGGGCAGAGAGUGCCAGCCUGGAAGGGCCUCCGGCUCAAGUGCCGCUCAAAUCCUGACAAAGACGGCUUUUUUUUGUAGCGUUUCGAGCGUUUGCAAAGAAAGCAAGAGUCUUUUUGAGUCGGCCUUGUUUGAAAGUGCCGCCGUCCAAUCAAAGUUAUGCCAUUAUUAUUUUUGAAACAAAACGGGGAUUAUGUU
rnacentral:RNase_MRP_RNA from 13 species